rnacentral:lncRNA from 10 species
UUGGAAUCUCUCCAAAAUGUUCCAAGCUCUGGCUCUACAGGUGUCCAUCAUAGGAUGCAAUCCUCCAAGCCCGUCCUCACUGGCCUCCUGGCCCCCGUCUCGUCACCCUCCAAGUUGCUGCUAUGGACACAGAUCAACCUCUGGGUGCAGCGCACCUGGCAGUGAGGUGUCAAGCGAGCCUUCAACCUCUCCCCACAUCAAUUUUCUCACCUUGACAUUGGGGAUCAGAGUGCCUAUUGUGUAUCCACUCAUCCAUUCAUUUCAAGCAUGUUCAUGGAGCACCCAUCACAUGUCUUCCAAGCAACGACAGAGGAGAUGUGAGGACCGACUGUAACAACCUAAGAAAGCACUGAGCAAAUGAGAGAUGCUCCACAUAUGUGGCUCUUUCACUUUCUCUUCUUUCCCAAAACACCAGUUUAUAAAUCAGCAUCACAGCUCCAAAGCCUCUGUGUGUCUUUUCCCCUGCCAAGGAUAAAGUCCAUAUUUCUUUGUUGACCUUUAACAUUUAAGAUAUCUAAGACAAAUCUAUCUAUCUAUUUAUUUAUGAAAAUUUAAGCUGUACACACCCUUUGACCACCUGGGGCCACUUCUUGGAAGUCCCCUACUUCCCAUUCCACCCCAGUAUAC